GGUUUGAAUGUGAAGUGUUCUUCUUGACCGUUUAUGUUGAACUUGAUUUCUCCUUUUCCGACAUCAAUGUGGGCAUUGGCAGUGCUCAGAAAUGGCCUUCCAAGGAUGAUGGACACUUUCGAGUCAGGACUCAUGUCCAGUACUACGAAGUCUUCUGGCACCAGGAAAUCUCUGAUCUUGACUGGAAUGUUCUCGGCGAUGCCCAGCGGGUGUCGAACCGAUUGAUCCGCUAGUUGUAGACACAUUGAUGUUGGUUCUAAGGUUGUAUGAUUAAGCUUUUUGUAGACUGAUGCUGGCAUCACACUGACACUUGCUCCGAGAUCACAAAGUGCAUUGUUGAAGUGUUGGUUUCCGAUCGAGCAAUCGAUAGUGGGACAUCCGGGAUCUUCCUUCUUCUUUGGUGGUUUGUUGAGGAUGGCCGCACUACAUUCUUCUGUCAGCUUGAUAACCUCAGUGGUGGGCAGUGGUCUCUUCUUGUUUAGAAUAUCUCUGAUGUACUUUGCAUAUGUAGGUACCUGUAUGGCAUCGAGCAGAGGUAUGUUGACAUAUAAUUUCUGA
rnacentral:lncRNA from 1 species